AGCUUUUGAGAGGGAAGGACCUGGCUGCCUGGGACCUGAGGCCCCCUCAAUGCCAGAGGAAGAAAAGCUGAGCCCUGAGGUGAUGAAAGAGCAUUCCAGCGGCUCCAGCUAGUGAACAUCUUUAUGAUUUCCCAACAUCACCACCAUUCACUCCUCUCUUCUAGGACUACGAUCUGGAUACUAUUUUAGCUCUGUUGGCAUGACGACAUUCCACCGCAAGCAGAAAUAAGGAAGUCUUCACAGAAGU